CACAACCUAAAUUAAUUCUUUAAUGAAAAUUAACAAUUAAAUUGAAAUAAGUCAUGAUGAUUAGUUUUAUAUAAAUAAAACAUCACGUAAAGGCUAAAUAAAGCAACACAAUAUUUAAAUACCCGGUCUGUCAUAUCUAAAAAUAGCACAUAUCAUUUAUUUUGUGAAACAUCAUGAUUUAAUCGAACCGUUGAACACCAACGUAUAUUGGCUGUCAUUGCACCAUAUUGUGAAAUGUUAAUUGACGGUUGAACACCCAUAAUGCACCAACGACAUCAUAUGAUCAUCAAAAUUAGCCAAUGAAAAUAUGUGACCAAACUGGUUGUGACAACGGAGGAAAUAUUUUAUAUCUUGAUAUGAAGUUAAUGCAUCACAUGAUAUCUGGAAUUCUAACAUAGUAAAAGCACAAUAUUAAAGAUGGGACGUACUAAACAGACAGCGCGGAUAUCCACCGGCGGAAAAGCCCCAAGAAAACAAUUAGCAGCCAAAACAGGAAAACAAACUUCUACAGUCAUAAUGAAAGGAAAGGGCGGAAAAGGUUUCACAGCUCCAUCGCCGUCAAAGUUCACAAAAAUUCCAACAAAAUUAAGCUUUAUUCCAAGUAGUACAUUUCCUUCAGCAACCAUCCCACACACAAUACCAGCGCCAUUACCUACACUGUCAAAAAAUGUGACGUCGCAUGUAUCAAACGUAAGAGGUAAGACUUGAAUAACUCGGUCUCUCUUACGUUACAUGUGUCAUGUACUUUUACUUAUAUUAAAGCUCACAUGGCUACAAAAACAGCUGAAAAACUACCAACGCCUUCUCACUGGACUGAUAUGGACGGAGAAAAUAACAUAAUGGUAAACAUUGAUCAGAAUGUAGAAGGAUUUAUGAAAAUGGAAUGGGAAAAUGUUCAAAUGAAAUUUGAGAAAACUUUCACACAUGCCACUAUCAUAUCAAUCCACAGACUUCAGAAUGUCUUCUUUUGGGAAAAUUAUUACUUGAGAAAAAGAAAAUUGGAAUAUGAUUAUGGCAAAGGCUGUUCUAACGAGCUCAGUUUGUUUCAUGGCACAACCCCAGACAGUCUGGAGGUCAUUACAGAACAAAAUUUAGACCCUCGUCUAGCAGGCGGUCGUACUGGAACUAUGUUAGGGAAAGGAAUAUAUUUUGCAAAAGACGCAUCAUAUUCCGACUCUUAUGCGCAACCUGACGAUGCAGGUCAUAAAUUCAUGUUUCUGUGUAAAGUUUUGGCGGGAAAAACAUGUAAAGGAAAAUCUGACUACACGAGACCUCCACAGCAGUUUUCAGGAGGUCCUUUAUUCGACAGUUGUGUAGACAAUGAGAAGAACCCGCGAAUAUACUGUGUUUACCAUGAUAGUCAGUACUAUCCUGAAUAUCUUAUUGAAUACAUUUAAGUUGUUGCACAAAAUGGCCGGAAUGUAUAUUAAGCACUAGUAUUGAAUUUGUUGAUAAAGACAAUAUAUGACUGGAACAAAAAGUUGUUAUAACUUUAAAAAUGUUCAAAUCUUUACAUAUUGUCACAUUUGUAAAUGAAUGUAUUAAUGCGUA